ensembl:piRNA 21ur-10905 ncRNA
UUUAUUGAAAUCUUUAAAAAA